CAGAAAUCUCUCUUAUUUCUAGUUUCUUAAUGUUUCAGAGAUUACGGGGGGAAGAGGGUUCUAUGAAUCCCAGACACUGCGCGAGGCAGAUUUGGUUUCAGUAAUUUUAGCAUCAUUCAUUGUAAGUUGAUGAUCCCUAGGAACUUCUUCACAGUGAGAAACCUGAAAGGUCCUAGCAGCCAGCAAUGAAUGAAAGGUGGGGUGGGGCCGCUGGCAGUGAGGUUCCUUGUGAGCCAUGUGCCUGUGCUCUCAAGUUCCAAGUUUGUGGGGAUGCAUGCAGGAGAUUCUGGACCUGAUUGUUUCCUCUGAACCAGGAUGCGUUCUGGUUGGUAGGACAACUGGCCUUCACUUGGUGGCCUUCAGUGGGUGCCCUCAUUAGUUGCCUUCAAUUAGUGCCCUCAGUUGGUAAUCUAAGUUGUUUCUCUUCAGUUGGUGGUCCUCAGUUGGUGGUCUUCAGUUGUUGGGCAGUGGUGGAAGGAAGAUGAAUCCGUUUGUGCUCUCUCCUCCCCCAGUCACAACUCUCAGGCUUGUUGCAUCUAGGCCCUUUUAAAAUAAACCAGAGAUGUUGGCAGGUUUUAUUAGCAGACAAGUCAGCUCAGGGUAUGGGGGUGACGCGAGGUGCAGGCCGCUAUUGGAGUGCCACCCCAUGGCCCAGGGCUGCUCGUGCCAGCAAUGCUUUUGCCAGGAAGAGGCGAAAGGUGUUUAGCUCUGUAAACUUGGGGGUGAGCGAAGGCCCAUGCUGCCCGAGAAGACCCCGUGGGGUCCACACGGAACGGUCGCAUAUGAACCAAAGGCAGCCCCAAUCAGGGCUGGCGCAAGGGUUCUGCAGAGCUAGCCUGUGGCUCUGAUGUCUACGACUGUGAAGUCAGCAAAGACGUAGGCCACGAUAUACAGGAGCAGAGGAGCCCAGAACACCCUGUCCCCCAAUGCCAGCCACAAGCAGGGCUAUCUCAGGAUGUGGUGGGUGAAGCCGUCCUGCAGAUCUGAGAAUCCUGAGGUGGAGGUGGCACUAGCACCAACUCCACUGCUUUGGAGCCUCCCCAGUCCAAUUUGGGAGCCAGCGAGGGACCUGACAGCAGCACAUUGGACACCAGAAGACACCCAAAGGCUGGAAUGCUACGUCGCGAUGUCAGCUCGCUGCAACCCUUGCUUCCUGAGUUCAUGUGAUCCUCCU
rnacentral:lncRNA from 10 species